rnacentral:rRNA from 1 species
CAGUAGCCACGGUAAUACGAAGGGGGCUAGCGUUGCUCGGAAUUACUGGGCGUAAAGGGAGCGUAGGCGGGCAUUUAAGUCAGGGGUGAAAUCCCAGAGCUCAACUCUGGAACUGCCUUUGAUACUGGGUGUCUUGAGUGUGAUAGAGGUAUGUGGAACUCCGAGUGUAGAGGUGAAAUUCGUAGAUAUUCGGAAGAACACCAGUGGCGAAGGCGACAUACUGGAUCAUUACUGACGCUGAGGCUCGAAAGCGUGGGGAGCAAACAGGAUUAGAUACCCCAGUAGUCCCUGUCUCUUAUAC